GGAAUGAAAAGUUGUGAAAAAAAAUAAAAUUUCAAAAAAUGCUUACAUUGAUAGAGAGUAAAAAUUUGCAAUAAAUACUGAAAAUUUGAAAAUAUUUUUGAUCAAAAUUAAGUGAUAUUUCAUAAUUUUAAUUUUGUUUUGUUUGCAUAAUAAUUAGAUUUAAUUUCAAAAAUUCAUUAGCAUUCAAGAGAUUAAAAGCACUUGAUAAUUUCUGCUUUUACUCAAAGUUUGUGUAGGAAUGUCAUUAUCUCAUUGUGGAACUGUCAAACAGGAAGAGGGUUCAAUUUGUUUGGUACCAUUGAAGGCAAUGAGGUUGCAGAUGGGCUAACCAAGAAAGGAUUUCUUGUCCCUUUAUUGGAUAUGGUCUUCUCUGAGCAUUAGAUCUAAUACAUUUGAUCUGAUGCUCAGGAAACUUAGAUUAUCAGGAACUGGUUUGCCAGCUCAACAUUGGACGUUCAUUCCUAGACUAAGGCAAGCAAAGACAUUUGUUUUAGGCCCAUCAUUACAGAGAACUAAAGAGUUACUUGCAUUAUAUAAAAAUCAAAUAAGAACUGCUACAGAGUUCUUUAUAAAGCACUGUCAUCUUAAAAAACAUUUCCACUUAACUGAAUUUUGAUAAGCUUAAACAUUAUACAUAUGUCAGGGAAGUCUUCUUUAUAUAUUGUGUAAAUGUGUGGCCCUUGAGUGCUAAGAUACAUCUUCUAGAGUUAUGUUUUACUCCAUUAAAAUAUUUUAUAAUCCCAUUGAGAAAAAAAACUUUAUUUUG
rnacentral:lncRNA from 1 species